rnacentral:rRNA from 1 species
UACGUAGGUGGCAAGCGUUAUCCAGAAUUAUUGGGCGUAAAGAGCACGCAGGUGGUUGAUUAAGUCUGAUGUGGAAGCCCACGGCUUAACCGUGGAGGGUCAUUGGAAACUGGUCGACUUGAGUGCAGAAGAGGGAAGUGGAAUUCCAUGUGUAGCGGUGAAAUGCGUAGAGAUAUGGAGGAACACCAGUGGCGAAGGCGGCUUCCUGGUCUGUAACUGACACUGAGGCGCGAAAGCGUGGGGAGCAAACAGGAUUAGA